rnacentral:rRNA from 1 species
UUAAGUCUGAUGUGAAAGCCCACGGCUCAACCGUGGAGGGUCAUUGGAAACUGGGGAACUUGAGUGCAGGAGAGGGGAGCGGAAUUCCACGUGUAGCGGUGAAAUGCGUAGAGAUGUGGAGGAACACCAGUGGCGAAGGCGGCUCUCUGGCCUGUAACUGACGCUGAGGCGCGAAAGCGUGGGGAGCGAACAGGAUUAGAUACCCUGGUAGUCCACGCCGUAAACGAUGAGUGCUAGGUGUUGGAGGGGUCAUACCCUUCAGUGCUGCAGCUAACGCAUUAAGCACUCCGCCUGGGGAGUACGGCCGCAAGGCUGAAACUCAAAGGAAUUGACGGGGGCCCGCACAAGCGGUGGAGCAUGUGGUUUAAUUCGAAGCAACGCGAAGAACCUUACCAGGCCUUGACAUCCUCUGACAACCCUGGAGACAGGGCUUCCCCUUCGGGGGCAGAGUGACAGGUGGUGCAUGGUUGUCGUCAGCUCGUGUCGUGAGAUGUUGGGUUAAGUCCCGCAACGAGCGCAACCCUCGUCCUUAGUUGCCAGCAUUCAGUUGGGCACUCUAAGGAGACUGCCGGUGACAAACCGGAGGAAGGUGGGGAUGACGUCAAAUCAUCAUGCCCCUUAUGGCCUGGGCUACACACGUGCUACAAUGGGCGGUACAAAGGGUUGCGAAACCGCGAGGUGGAGCUAAUCCCAAAAAGCCGCUCUCAGUUCGGAUUGCAGGCUGCAACUCGCCUGCAU